UUCAAAACUCUUUAUUUUACAUACUCGUUUUUAAUAAUAUAUUCACACAAUAAAAUAUUUUGCACAUAAACCCAAAAAUUUUUCCUACUUUUUAAACACGCAUUCUCCAAAAACUUACAAUUUAAAACAGAGUUUUUGCCAAAUAAUGGCCAUCAAACUAUGGCUAAGUAAUCGAGUUCAUUGUAAAAUGCAUGAUUGAAUAUUAAAUACAACAUCCUGAAAUUUUCUCCUCUAGUUCUUCCCCAUUCUCCUUUCAAAUUCUCUUUGUUUCUUCAUCUUCGUCUCUCCUCUUGUCCUUCUCUAUAUUCUCGGUUUGACAUAGUGUGCUGCAUCGUAUAUAUCAGCUGACUAGUCUUUUAAUCAUCAAAUUGAUCUCUCUGAACGAUUUUCAUAAAAACAUGCCAGUCUUUAUCACUGGGAUUGUCCAUCUAAAAUAUUAGCUCCAUUUGAAAUGCAAAGGCAAAUGGCUUAUCGUCCUGCUUUAACCCCUUGCCUUUUAACACCCUAUUGCAUUCAAUGAUUCAAUCAACACAUCUUUGCCACCUCCUUAAUCCAACUCAAUUAUGUCUUUCAAAAUCCCAAAUUAAUUCAUCUCUCUUAAGAUGGCCACCUAUAUCAAAAUGCACAGAACAAGAAUGUAACGUAAAGUAAAAAAUAUAAGCAACUAUGUAAACACACAUGGCUAGUAAUCUAAUUUACCUGUAGGAAUUGUUUAAGAAAAGAGAUAUCUAGUUGAACUUUAUUUUAUUUAAUUUUCUGUAAAAUCCACAGCAUUCGGUCAGGAGCUUUUAGGUUCCUUUCCAAACGAUAUCCCCUAACUCUCCAUGAAUAAUAGAAAGGAGUAGUGCAUGGAGGGGACAUAAAGCCUUACGUCAGGAUAUACAUCAAGAGGAUGUAACGAACAUUUAAAGCAAGAUUCAAACUAGUAAGUAUUACUUCUAUAACAUUUAAAGUAGAUAAUAGAAAUUUUAUGAGUUAACAUAAGGAACUUGGAGACGGUCUAAAAAUAUGAGCCCAAACAACUACCCAUGAAUUUCGGAAGGCUGCAAAACCGUGGAGCACUCUUCUGGACACCAAAAUUGGCAUGGAUUUCAAUGAAGUUUUGAUUUCCCCAAUAACAUAUUGAGUAUUCCAAGCCUCACUAGGCUCUGUGGACACCAAUUGAAUAGCCACAAGAGAGUCAAGUUCAAUCCAAAAUUUUUGAACCCCAACAUUAGCGCAAUGAGAGUAUAGGAGCAGUGUGCCCAAACAACCUGUCUGAGCCACGCCAGCCCCUCACCAUCCCCUACUCUGAGGGUUGCCUUUACAACACCCAUCCAUGUUCACUUCGUACUCUCCCACCAAUGGUUUUAGCCAAUCAUAACAAGCUUAUCUAAAUUGUGGUGUUUUCUUUGUUUCAACUUAGUUUUCUCAUACUCCACAUGAGUUAUUCCUAUGAUAGUUCCAUCGAAAAGUUAACUUCCUGGAUUAUGAUUUAGUAUGCUGGAAUAUUGAUCAUUAUAACCAAAUAAUCUAGCAUAGUUUCUAUCACAAAUCAUUAGCUCUAGUUUCGAGCUUCCCAUUAGUACCAAAUACAAGUCAAACCAAAAUUUAGAAGUUAAACCAACCAUGUUAUGUUGGAUAGCUCUAAACUCUUUC
rnacentral:lncRNA from 1 species